GGUCUUUCUUAGGGUGCCUUAGAUGGUGGACUUGACAUUCCUCAUAGUGACAAGAGGUUUGUUGGUUUCAAAAAAGAGGACAAACAACUUGAUCCUGAGGUUCACCGAAAGUAUAUAUUCAGUGGUCAUGUUGCUUCUUACUUGAGGAUGAAGGAAUGGGUAUUGUAUGUUGGAACAAAAGGUUGCUGAUAACAGAAUGUUCACAUGAACUCUUGAAACAAGCAGGAAGCAGCUGCAUGCAAUUCUAUUCAAGUGAGCAGCCUUAAGCCUUGGGGCUUUUUCAGUGGGGUACACUAGACUUAAAUUGAAAAAAUAGAGGAAAAAACCUUUUAAAUCACAUUUAAGAUGGCCCUCAUUAGCUGAGAUUCUUUGACAUUAACAGAGCUUGUGUAGGAGAACUACAUCUCACAUGGAGAAACAGGUA